GAUGAACGCUGGCGGCGUGCCUAAUACAUGCAAGUCGAGCGAACAGACGAGGAGCUUGCUCCUCUGACGUUAGCGGCGGACGGGUGAGUAACACGUGGAUAACCUACCUAUAAGACUGGGAUAACUUCGGGAAACCGGAGCUAAUACCGGAUAAUAUAUUGAACCGCAUGGUUCAAUAGUGAAAGACGGUUUUGCUGUCACUUAUAGAUGGAUCCGCGCCGCAUUAGCUAGUUGGUAAGGUAACGGCUUACCAAGGCGACGAUGCGUAGCCGACCUGAGAGGGUGAUCGGCCACCCUGGAAGUGAGACAGGGUCCAGACUCCUACGGGAGGCAGCAGUAGGGAAUCUUCCGCAAUGGGCGAAAGCCUGACGGAGCAACGCCGCGUGAGUGAUGAAGGUCUUCGGAUCGUAAAACUCUGUUAUUAGGGAAGAACAAAUGUGUAAGUAACUAUGCACGUCUUGACGGUACCUAAUCAGAAAGCCACGGCUAACUACGUG
rnacentral:rRNA from 1 species